CAAGGCGAAGCUCAUAAUGCGGAACCCAAAUAAUUUAAGCCUUCUUCGAGUAUCACCUCAGUUAUGAAUGCAAGGAAGGCUUUAAGAAAAAGAUGAAAAGCAUUUUUGGCCUAUGUAGUGGAUGCCCAAAAGAAAAAGAUAAAGGUGGACGAUAUUCCAAUUGUCAAAGAAUAUCUUGAUGUUUUUUCAGAUGAGCUAUCUGGACUGCCUCCAGAUCAUGAGGUUGAAUUUAAAAUUGAUAUCACAC
rnacentral:lncRNA from 1 species